GCAUUGGUUUGGAUUUGUGGCAGGCCCAUGCCCCUGGGUCUCUCAUAGUGUCCCAUGCCAGAGCACGCUGUGACCUUGAAACAUAGCCUGGCCUCUCUCCGUAGGCUGCAGGCACUGGAGCAGGUUACACAGUG